CAGUCGCCGCGGGAAUACGAAGGGGGCUAGCGUUGCUCGGAAUGACUGGGCGUAAAGGGCGCGUAGGCGGCGAUCAAAGUCAGGCGUGAAAUUCCUGGGCUCAACCUGGGGGCUGCGCUUGAUACUUGGUUGCUUGAGUGGGGAAGAGGGUCGUGGAAUUCCCAGUGUAGAGGUGAAAUUCGUAGAUAUUGGGAAGAACACCGGUGGCGAAGGCGGCGACCUGGUCCUUGACUGACGCUGAGGCGCGAAAGCGUGGGGAGCAAACAGGAUUAGAUACCCCGGUAGUCCCUGUCUCUUAUAC
rnacentral:rRNA from 1 species